AGCGAACGCUGGCGGCAGGCCUAAUACAUGCAAGUCGAGCGGUCCCUUCGGGGGCAGCGGCGGACGGGUGAGUAACGCGUGGGAACGUGCCCUUUGGUACGGAACAACUGAGGGAAACUUCAGCUAAUACCGUAUGUGCCCUUCGGGGGAAAGAUUUAUCGCCAUUGGAGCGGCCCGCGUUGGAUUAGGUAGUUGGUGAGGUAAAGGCUCACCAAGCCUACGAUCCAUAGCUGGUCUGAGAGGAUGAUCAGCCACACUGGGACUGAGACACGGCCCAGACUCCUACGGGAGGCAGCAGUAGGGAAUCUUGCGCAAUGGGCGAAAGCCUGACGCAGCCAUGCCGCGUGAAUGAUGAAAGUCUUAGGAUUGUAAAAUUCUUUCACCGGGGACGAUAAUGACGGUACCCGGAGAAGAAGCCCCGGCUAACUUCGUG
rnacentral:rRNA from 1 species